CUAGCCGUAAACGAUGGAUACUAGGCGUUGUGAGUAUCGACCCUCACAGUGUCGUAGCUAACGCGUUAAGUAUCCCGCCUGGGGAGUACGCGCGCAAGCGUGAAACUCAAAGGAAUUGACGGGGGCCCGCACAAGCGGUGGAGUAUGUGGUUCAAUUCGAUGCAACGCGAAGAACCUUACCAGGACUUGACAUGUCGCGAAUCUCAGGGAAACUUGAGAGUGCCUUCGGGAGCGCGAACACAGGUGGUGC
rnacentral:rRNA from 1 species